rnacentral:rRNA from 1 species
GAUGAACGCUGGCGGCGUGCUUAACCCAUGCCAGUCGAACGGAAAGGCCCAAGCUUGCUUGGGUACUCGAGUGGCGAACGGGUGAGUAACACGUGGGUGAUCUGCCCUGCACUUCGGGAUAAGCCUGGGAAACUGGGUCUAAUACCGGAUAGGACCACUUCUUGGAUGUUGUGGUGGAAAGUUUUUUCGGUGUGGGAUGAGCUCGCGGCCUAUCAGCUUGUUGGUGGGGUAAUGGCCUACCAAGGCGUCGACGGGUAGCCGGCCUGAGAGGGUGUACGGCCACAUUGGGACUGAGAUACGGCCCAGACUCCUACGGGAGGCAGCAGUGGGGAAUAUUGCACAAUGGGCGCAAGCCUGAUGCAGCGACGCCGCGUGGGGGAUGACGGCCUUCGGGUUGUAAACCCCUUUCGCUAGGGACGAAGCGUUUUGUGACGGUACCUGGAGAAGAAGCACCGGCUAACUACGUG